CAAGUCGAACGAUGAUGCUGGAGCUUGCUCCAGUUGAUUAGUGGCGAACGGGUGAGUAACACGUGAGCAAUCUGCCCUUGACUCUGGGAUAACUGCGGGAAACUGUAGCUAAUACCGGAUACUUUCACCGGAAGGCAUCUUCUGGUGAUGAAAGAAUUUCGGUCAGGGAUGAGCUCGCGGCCUAUCAGCUUGUUGGUGAGGUAACGGCUCACCAAGGCGACGACGGGUAACCGGCCUGAGAGGGUGACCGGUCACACUGGGACUGAGACACGGCCCAGACUCCUACGGGAGGCAGCAGUGGGGAAUAUUGCACAAUGGGCGCAAGCCUGAUGCAGCAACGCCGCGUGAGGGAUGAAGGCCUUCGGGUUGUAAACCUCUUUUAGCAGGGAAGAAGCGAAAGUGACGGUACCUGCAGAAAAAGCACCGGCUAACUACGUGCCAGCAGCCGCGGUAAUACGUAGGGUGCAAGCGUUGUCCGGAAUUAUUGGGCGUAAAGAGCUCGUAGGCGGUUUGUCACGUCUGCUGUGAAAAUCCAAGGCUCAACCUUGGACUUGCAGUGGGUACGGGCAGGCUAGAGUGCGGUAGGGGAGAUGGGAAUUCCUGGUGUAGCGGUGGAAUGCGCAGAUAUCAGGAGGAACACCAAUGGCGAAGGCACAUCUCUGGGCCGUAACUGACGCUGAGGAGCGAAAGCGUGGGGAGCAAACAGGAUUAGAUACCCUGGUAGUCCACGCCGUAAACGGUGGGUGCUAGCUGUGGGCCACAUUCCACGUGGUCCGUAACGAAGUUAACACAUUAAGCACCCCGCCUGGGGAGUACGGCCGCAAGGCUAAAACUCAAAGGAAUUGACGG
rnacentral:rRNA from 1 species